rnacentral:rRNA from 1 species
AGAUUAAGUUAUUAAGGGCGCACGGUGGAUGCCUUGGCACUAGAAGCCGAUGAAGGACGUUACUAACGACGAUAUGCUUUGGGGAGCUGUAAGUAAGCUUUGAUCCAGAGAUUUCCGAAUGGGGAAACCCAGCAUGAGUUAUGUCAUGUUAUCGAUAUGUGAAUACAUAGCAUAUCAGAAGGCACACCCGGAGAACUGAAACAUCUUAGUACCCGGAGGAAGAGAAAGAAAAUUCGAUUCCCUUAGUAGCGGCGAGCGAAACGGGAAGAGCCCAAACCAACAAGCUUGCUUGUUGGGGUUGUAGGACACUCUAUACGGAGUUACAAAGGACGACAUUAGACGAAUCAUCUGGAAAGAUGAAUCAAAGAAGGUAAUAAUCCUGUAGUCGAAAAUGUUGUCUCUCUUGAGUGGAUCCUGAGUACGACGGAGCACGUGAAAUUCCGUCGGAAUCUGGGAGGACCAUCUCCUAAGGCUAAAUACUCUCUAGUGACCGAUAGUGAACCAGUACCGUGAGGGAAAGGUGAAAAGCACCCCGGAAGGGGAGUGAAAUAGAACCUGAAACCGUGUGCUUACAAGUAGUCAGAGCCCGUUAAUGGGUGAUGGCGUGCCUUUUGUAGAAUGAACCGGCGAGUUACGAUUUGAUGCAAGGUUAAGCAGUAAAUGUGGAGCCGUAGCGAAAGCGAGUCUGAAUAGGGCGUUUAGUAUUUGGUCGUAGACCCGAAACCAGGUGAUCUACCCUUGGUCAGGUUGAAGUUCAGGUAACACUGAAUGGAGGACCGAACCGACUUACGUUGAAAAGUGAGCGGAUGAACUGAGGGUAGCGGAGAAAUUCCAAUCGAACCUGGAGAUAGCUGGUUCUCUCCGAAAUAGCUUUAGGGCUAGCCUCAAGUGAUGAUUAUUGGAGGUAGAGCACUGUUUGGACGAGGGGCCCCUCUCGGGUUACCGAAUUCAGACAAACUCCGAAUGCCAAUUAAUUUAACUUGGGAGUCAGAACAUGGGUGAUAAGGUCCGUGUUCGAAAGGGAAACAGCCCAGACCACCAGCUAAGGUCCCAAAAUAUAUGUUAAGUGGAAAAGGAUGUGGCGUUGCCCAGACAACUAGGAUGUUGGCUUAGAAGCAGCCAUCAUUUAAAGAGUGCGUAAUAGCUCACUAGUCGAGUGACACUGCGCCGAAAAUGUACCGGGGCUAAACAUAUUACCGAAGCUGUGGAUUGUCCUUUGGACAAUGGUAGGAGAGCGUUCUAAGGGCGUUGAAGCAUGAUCGUAAGGACAUGUGGAGCGCUUAGAAGUGAGAAUGCCGGUGUGAGUAGCGAAAGACGGGUGAGAAUCCCGUCCACCGAUUGACUAAGGUUUCCAGAGGAAGGCUCGUCCGCUCUGGGUUAGUCGGGUCCUAAGCUGAGGCCGACAGGCGUAGGCGAUGGAUAACAGGUUGAUAUUCCUGUACCACCUAUAAUCGUUUUAAUCGAUGGGGGGACGCAGUAGGAUAGGCGAAGCGUGCGAUUGGAUUGCACGUCUAAGCAGUAAGGCUGAGUAUUAGGCAAAUCCGGUACUCGUUAAGGCUGAGCUGUGAUGGGGAGAAGACAUUGUGUCUUCGAGUCGUUGAUUUCACACUGCCGAGAAAAGCCUCUAGAUAGAAAAUAGGUGCCCGUACCGCAAACCGACACAGGUAGUCAAGAUGAGAAUUCUAAGGUGAGCGAGCGAACUCUCGUUAAGGAACUCGGCAAAAUGACCCCGUAACUUCGGGAGAAGGGGUGCUCUUUAGGGUUAACGCCCAGAAGAGCCGCAGUGAAUAGGCCCAAGCGACUGUUUAUCAAAAACACAGGUCUCUGCUAAACCGUAAGGUGAUGUAUAGGGGCUGACGCCUGCCCGGUGCUGGAAGGUUAAGAGGAGUGGUUAGCUUCUGCGAAGCUACGAAUCGAAGCCCCAGUAAACGGCGGCCGUAACUAUAACGGUCCUAAGGUAGCGAAAUUCCUUGUCGGGUAAGUUCCGACCCGCACGAAAGGCGUAACGAUUUGGGCACUGUCUCAACGAGAGACUCGGUGAAAUCAUAGUACCUGUGAAGAUGCAGGUUACCCGCGACAGGACGGAAAGACCCCGUGGAGCUUUACUGUAGCCUGAUAUUGAAAUUCGGCACAGCUUGUACAGGAUAGGUAGGAGCCUUUGAAACGUGAGCGCUAGCUUACGUGGAGGCGCUGGUGGGAUACUACCCUAGCUGUGUUGGCUUUCUAACCCGCACCACUUAUCGUGGUGGGAGACAGUGUCA